CCAGGUACAUCAUGGCCCUCUUGUUACUACUCCAGUGAGCGCCCCCAGGUAUAUCAUGGCCCUCUUGUUACUACUCCAGUGAGCGCCCCCAGGUACAUCAUGGCCCUCUUGUUACUACUCCAGUGGGCGCCCCCAGGUACAUCAUGGCCCUCUUGUUACUACUCCAGUGAGCGCCCCCAGGUACAUCAUGGCCCUCUUGUUACUACUCCAGUGAGCGCCCCCAGGUACAUCAUGGCCCUCUUGUUACUACUCCAGUGAGUGCCCCCAGGUACAUCAUGGCCCUCUUGUUACUACUCCAGUGAGCGCCCCCAGGUACAUCAUGGCCCUCUUGUUACUACUCCAGUGAGCGCCGCCAGGUACAUCAUGGCCCUCUUGUUACUACUCCAGUGGGCGCCCCCAGGUACAUCAUGGCCCUCUUGUUACUACUCCAGUGAGCGCCCCCAGGUACAUCAUGGCCCUCUUGUUACUACUCCAGUGAGCGCCCCCAGGUACAUCAUGGCCCUCUUGUUACUACUCCAGUGAGCGCCCCCAGGUACAUCAUGGCCCUCUUGUUACUACUCCAGUGAGCGCCCCCAGGUACAUCAUGGCCCUCUUGUUACUACUCCAGUGAGCGCCCCCAGGUACAUCAUGGCCCUCUUGUUACUACUCCAGUGAGCGCCCCUAGGUACAUCAUGGCCCUCUUGUUACUCAGAGAACAUCAGCCCAGUAGGGGACUGCUGUUUAGUCUGCUGCAAAGUUUUUGUUAUUUGAGUCCCAUAUUGAUAGUGCAUCUUCAGCAGACACACAUUUGUAUAGUGAUACGAGUAAAAAGAUGUCUGUUAACACUCAGAUUCUGUAAGUUCCAUGUCAUUGAGCUGUCAAAUGCCAUUGUGUAUUGGCUAACAUGUUGGUUGGAAUGUAAUUCACAAUAUUUACCAUCAU